CACCCAAGCUACAAAUACCAAUAAAAUUGCUAUUGCAAAACCCAUUAUUCUUUUGCAAAUGUUUGAUUUUUUCGAGCCUCUAUUCCUUUCAGCUUCAUGCUCCUUUAUUCUUGACUAUAAACCAAGAAUCACAUUCUUCAAAUGCUUAAGCACAGGAGGAUCAUACAAUGAGAAAAAAACCACAGGCCACAUAAAUCUUCACCUCACAACACAAUAUGAAAAAGAAAAAUGCAAUUACAAUGCAUAAAACAAAAAACCAAACCAAAUUUCAAAGAUUCACAAGUAAAACACUCACCUCAAAAUGUCUACAACCAAAG
rnacentral:misc_RNA from 1 species